AUUUAUUCACAAGAGGUAGUAAUUAAUAAACCAACACUCACUGGCGGUCUUUACUCUCUAGAGAAACUCGCUCUAUAAUCGAAAAUACCCGUUAAUUUUUACUUAGCUCAACAGCAUAUAUACCGCCGUCAAUCAUAGCAAUAAGCAUAAUUAGCUUGCCAAACUCUACCAUACUAACAAUCAGGUCAAGGUGUAGCCUAUAACUAAGAAAGAGUAAGUUACAAUAAAAAUAAUUUAAGGAUGUAAGAUAAAAAUCAACUUGAAAGAGAAUCUAGAAGUACAAAUAAAAUAACAACUCAUUUUGAACUCAUUAAUAAAGAUGC
rnacentral:rRNA from 1 species